GCAUAGACAGCUAGGAGGUUGGCUUAGAAGCAGCCACCCUUUAAAGAAAGCGUAAUAGCUCACUAGUCGAGUCGGCCUGCGCGGAAGAUGUAACGGGGCUAAGCAAUAUACCGAAGCUGCGGCAGCAUGUUUACAUGCUGGGUAGGGGAGCGUUGUGUAAGUGGAUGAAGGUGAGUUGUAAAGCUUGCUGGACAUAUCACAAGUGCGAAUGCUGACAUGAGUAACGAUAAUGGGAGUGAAAAACUCCCACGCCGGAAGACCAAGGUUUCCUGUCCCAUGCUAAUCAGGGCAGGGUAAGUCGGCCCCUAAGGCGAGGCAGAAAUGCGUAGUCGAUGGGAAACGGAUUAAUAUUUCCGUACUUGUAUAAUCAGUGAUGGAGGGACGGAGAAGGCUAGGCAAGCUUGGCGUUGGUUGUCCAAGUGAAAGUGAGUAGGCUGCGUAUUUAGGUAAAUCCGGAUACGCUCUUUAAAAGAGAAAGGUCGAGACACGAGACGAGCUCCCAAGGGAGUGAAGUUGUUGAUGCCCUGCUUCCAGGAAAAGCUUCUAAACUUAUGAUUAUAUGAACCGUACCCCAAACCGACACAGGUGGUCAGGUAGAGAAUACUAAGGCGCUUGAGAGAACUCGGGUGAAGGAACUCGGCAAAAUUGUACCGUAACUUCGGGAGAAGGUACGCCUCUGUUUGUGAACACUUCGCGUGGUAAGCAAAUGGAGGCCGCAGUGACCAGGUGGCUGGGACUGUUUAUUAAAAACACAGCACUCUGCAAACUCGUAAGAGGACGUAUAGGGUGUGACACCUGCCCGGUGCCGGAAGGUUAAUUGAUGGGGUUAGCG
rnacentral:rRNA from 1 species